rnacentral:sRNA from 1 species
AGGGUUUGUGAAGAGCUGUGCUCUCCUUCUAGAGCCUCCAAGCAAGCUCUUGGGGCCCAUCUGUGGGACAACGUAGUGUAGCCAAGC